UACGUCUCGACAUUAAAUGUUAUGAUAUAUAUGACUCCGUUUUUGAACUUUUAAACUCAUGGUUGAAACCGCAUCGAAAAACGGUUUAAAAACGGUGACGACGCAUGUUACGUCCUUUUUACGCAACCGAUGCUCAACCGCGACAACGACUACCUACACUAAUUUUAGAUAUCUUUAAAUCUAAAAAAUUCAGUUCAUGACCCGACAACGAUCCCUGGUGGUAAAUACCCUUGCCAACUUGAUUGGAUUAAAGAGCCUGGAGUACCCAAGAUUCGAACCCACGACCUCCACGUAAUGGAAGGCCUCCAGAGACAGUAAAUGGGUAAGUAAUAAAGAAAAUGUGAAAAAAAAAACAAAACUAACUUUCCAACAUGUUUCGUUGGAGUUAGAAAUAAUAAAAUAAUAAUGACAAUAGUAAGAUGGAAUUAUUAUAUUACUUUCCUCAUGCUUAAACUCCUGGAACCUACAAGCCUAGCAAAUGGUCAAAACAUGCUACUAUCCUAGCACAUGUAUUGUCGUGAUUUAGUACAUGAGAAAAGGAAGGAAACAAAAGACAUGGGCAAGGAUAAUCAUUCAAACCCAUUCCAUCACUCAAUAGGGUACAUGCUUAUAUUUUAAAUUAUUUAGAUCAUUAUGCUCAUAUUUCAUGUCCAUCAGAUAUCACUCCAACCAAACCCUUCCAUCAAGAAAUUCAUCUAUAUCUUUAACUUGUGGAGGAAUAAAAUAAUGCACAAGUGUCAAGUCUAUGCUUUGGAAAUGGAAUUUGACCAUAAGACUCUUGGUCCAGCCGAAUCCCACUUCCUUGUUAUAAUCUUAAUUAUAUAUUUUUUUUAUUGACUCUUUAAUUAAAGACUAUUGUCCCACUACAACCAAACACACAAUACUUCCUAACUCUUUCUCUCCUUACUCUCGGCCCUCUUCCCUCUUUUUUAUGUGGAACCAAUUGCAUACUAAACAACUCCAAAAUCUACAAAAUUCAAGCACUAGAACAAGGGUUAAGUCUGGCUUUCAAGUUCACAUGUCAAGUUCAAGUUCAAGUUCUUCUUUCUUAGUCAUUCACCCUUGCUGUUCCUUGUCGGAAUUUACAUGCGCACGACUUUUGUAUUGCUAGCAUAUCAUUUAAGGACAUCAAGGUUGCAUUUUUCAAAACUCCGGGGCGAUUGGAAUAGAAGAACCCACGGGAUUUCGAGUACUUAGCAUGCGUUCAGUUUUUAGAAGUCUUAGCAUUAUUAGCUUCCGCUGUGCAAUGAAGAUACCGGCCCAGUCACGCCAGCUCUGAUAUUUCAGGGUGUGACAGCUACGGAGAACUGCUCAUCUUGCUUUGCUUUUGCAGCUCAAGCUCAUGACUUUUUCUCUUUUCUAUCAAAGCAUCCAGAGUAAUUGUAUCAUACAACAUAUCAUUUUCAACAUAAACACAAACGUUUGUCACUGAUCAUCUCAUGGUAACACUUCAAUGAUUUUAU